AUUGAACGCUGGCGGCAUGCUUUACACAUGCAAGUCGAACGGCAGCGCGGGCUUCGGCCUGGCGGCGAGUGGCGAACGGGUGAGUAAUGCAUCGGAACGUGCCCAGUAGUGGGGGAUAGCCCGGCGAAAGCCGGAUUAAUACCGCAUACGACCUGAGGGUGAAAGCGGGGGACCGAAAGGCCUCGCGCUAUUGGAGCGGCCGAUGUCGGAUUAGCUAGUUGGUGGGGUAAAGGCUUACCAAGGCGACGAUCCGUAGCUGGUCUGAGAAGACGACCAGCCACACUGGGACUGAGACACGGCCCAGACUCCUACGGGAGGCAGCAGUGGGGAAUGUUGGACAAUGGGGGCAACCCUGAUCCAGCCAUGCCGCGUGCGGGAAGAAGGCCUUCGGGUUGUAAACCGCUUUUGUUCGGGAAGAAAUCCUCUGGGCUAAUACCCCGGGGGGAUGACGGUACCGGAAGAAUAAGCACCGGCUAACUACGUG
rnacentral:rRNA from 1 species